CUGGGAGCCAAGAGCACGAGGAGCUGGUGUCUGUGUCACAUUUGUACUUGCGGACGAUUAUAAAGCUUGGGACCUUCGUAAAAGUGAACUUUAUAAGCCAGAACGAACUUACCACCCCCCUACUGUGAAAUUUGGAAAUUCAACUACAUUCCAGGAUGACUUUGUUCCUCAGGAGAUAAAGCCUAGGCAAAGCUUUAAACCCUUCUCUGUGGUCAAACGUUCUACAGCCCCUUUUAAUGGUAUUACAAGUAAUCGCCUUGAUUAUAUACCUCAUCAGCUUGAACUCAAGUUUGAAAGGCCAAAAGAAGUUUACAAACCAACUGACCAACGCUUUGAGGAUUUCACAACUCACCGGUAUGACUUUUGGGGUCUUAUUUGGUGAAACUGCAAAACUCUGCAGACCUGUACACACCAGAGUGACCCAGAAUGCUCGGUUUGAAGGAAGCACUGAAUUCCGUGAAAGUUUUCAACCAUGGGAAAUCCCACGACCGGAGGUCAAGAAAGUACCAGAGUAUGUGCCUCCUACAGGUAGCAUGCUGUUAAACAGCACAAGCCAUCUUGACUAUGUUCCGUAUCAGGCCAACCGUGUUGUUCCCAUCAGGCCAGUUUCUCGUAGAAGAAGUAACAGUUUUCCUUUCCAAGGAAAAAGCACCAUGAAAGAUUUUCCAGCAUGGGAAAGUUGUCGUCAAGGACUUAUUAAGAAGCAGCAGCAGAUUCCCAACCCAUCUGGAAAAUUUGAUGGUUUGAGCACUUUCAGAUCUCACUAUUUGCAACAUGAAUUGAUUCCAACAGAGAGUUGCAAACCUUUAAAUAUUGCUUUUAAGAGUUCUGUUCCAUUUGAUGAUGUAACCAUGUACUCUGUAGAGUACACACCGAAAAAACAGGAAAUUUGCCCAGCUAGCUAUCCCUCUCCUCCAGGUUAUAUUUUUGAAAAUACAAAUUCCCAAGGUCAUAAAUUCUUCUGCAAGAUUACUCCCGCAGUGAAGGCCUUCUAAU
rnacentral:lncRNA from 1 species